rnacentral:rRNA from 1 species
AACGCGAAGAACCUUACCAGCUCUUGACAUCCCUCUGAAUACAUUAGAGAUAGUGUAGGCCUUCGGGACAGAGGAGACAGGUGGUGCAUGGUUGUCGUCAGCUCGUGUCGUGAGAUGUUGGGUUAAGUCCCGCAACGAGCGCAACCCUUGAUCUUAGUUGCCAGCAUUUCGGAUGGGCACUCUAAGGUGACUGCCGGUGAUAAACCGGAGGAAGGUGGGGAUGACGUCAAAUCAUCAUGCCCCUUAUGAGCUGGGCUACACACGUACUACAAUGGCCGGUACAACGGGAAGCGAAACCGCGAGGUGGAGCGAAUCCUAUCAAAGCCGGUCUCAGUUCGGAUUGCAGGCUGCAACUCGCCUGCAUGAAGUCGGAAUUGCUAGUAAUCGCGGAUCAGCAUGCCGCGGUGAAUACGUUCCCGGGCCUUGUACACACCGACGCGUA